rnacentral:misc_RNA from 1 species
GUGUAUUUCUUUUUGUUCAUCUUGCAAAAUAUUUUAGACAAUUUUAGCACGAUGCACGAAUAUUUCUAUCUGUUGUAGACAUAUUGUAAAAACGUUUGUAACUUGUUUUAUUACUAUUCUUAUAUAAGAUGUUAGGCUUUUAUUUAUAAAAGUAUUGGUUCCCGCAUACAGGGCGCAGCAAAGCUUGCCGCGUGGCGGACUUCAAAAAGUCCCCUCCUAAACUUAUUAUUCCCCUAAACAAUCCCCAGGGAAAAUUAAAAAACCCCAAAUUUGGGGGAAAAUCCCCCAACUUGGCAACACUGGUUCACGCUCGAAAUUAUACAUACAUCAGGCGAGAAAUGGAAGGACGGUUACGUUAUAGAAAAUACCGGCCCGCGCUCAUACACAGUGAGGUUGCCGGACAGACGGAUUUGGAAACGUCGUAUAGAUCAGUUACGACGACGAGAGGUUCGCCUAGAGGAGGACAGUUACGAGAAAACAUCACCACAAAGCAUGACGACCCUGGAGUCACACACUCUGGCAGCACCAGAUCCGACGGCAGAGGAGCAGCCUAUCAUCGAGCCGCCGAUUCCGCUCUCGGAAUCAAUACAAUUUACUCUGACCAAUCAGGAAAAUAUCGCAAUCACGUGAUCAUUGGCGCAUCUCUGUUAUACUAUAGGAUCUCUAGUUUGUGUGGUUAGUUUCUAAGUACGAACCUAUUUUGAAGAAAAUUUAGCUGUUUGCUCGGUCGCGCCAAUCACUGUUUGAUGGUCGUUGAGGCUUGUUGUCUCCAGCGACUUUCGGUAGUGUUACCGGUUAUUUUUCUGUCAAUGUAUCUUGUUUGUAUUAUAGAAAAAUAACUAUGUAAUUCGGCACUUGAGGAGGACCCAAAGUGGGAACCCAAAAGGUCGAAACGUUGUGCGUUUAACAUCUAAUAAAUAGCCGGGAUUGGUCGUGCUACUAUUCAGUUGCCUUUCAUUAGUUUCUAAGAGUGGAUAUCCAGAAUAUAUGUAACAAUGCCAGGCUGUUGCGUUCCGAGUUGCAAGAACUCAUCCGCUAAAAGAUAUUUGAUGAAACAUUUCCCAAGAAAUCCUGAAAUAAGGGCUCAAUGGACGUUAAAUAUUCCGCGACCAAAUUGGAUACCCACGACUUAUAGCUGUAUUUGUGAGAUGCAUUUUUUACCAGAGAUGUAGGAAAAAACACGGGUUGACGGAAAAAGAAUUUUGAAGCAUAAUGCAAUACCAACCGUUUUUUAAACAAUCCCUAAAGCAGUUGUUGCAUGUACAAAUACUGAAUUAAUGCAAUUAGACAUGGAUGACAGAUUGAAUCUCGUCAGCAAUAAAAUGUCCAUUGAAAUUCCUCACGAACCUACUGAAUCUAUCAUUGAGGUUAUGGAAAAUGAAUCAAAUCUAUCUUCAUCUCGCCUUAAUUGUGAUAUUGAUUGGAAGAAAAAAUAUGAAACAUUCAAUGAGUUAUAUGAAAAACGUGAAAAGACUUAUCAUGAUGUUCUAAAAAAAUACAAUAAGUGUAACAUCCUUAAAGAAAAGGUGAAAAAGUUAAAUGCAGAAAAAAUAAGUUUACAUAAGCAAUGUGUAAACAAUAGAAAAUCACAGUCCAUUAUUAAAAACAUAUUUAAUGAUGAUCAAAUAAGAGCAUUGGUGAAUAAAUCAAAUCGAGGCUCUAAGUGGUCUGAAAAAACAAUUAAAAAAGCACUUCGACUGAAAUUCUCUUGCGGACUGAAUGGAUACAACGAACUUUUGGGACAACGUAUGCCUUUGCCAUCAGUGCGUACUUUACAAGAAAAACUAGAAACCCCACUUUGAAGAAGGAAUUUGCGAAGAAAUUUUCGAUAUUUUAAAAGAAAAAGUACGCGGCUUUGCAGAUGAUUUUCAGGUUAACCUUUUAUUCAUGUAUCCUUUCAAUAAAAUGAUAUGUGCGAAAUAAUAUCUA